rnacentral:rRNA from 1 species
AGUGAACGCUGGCGGUAGGCCUAACACAUGCAAGUCGAACGGCAGCGCAGUAAGAGCUUGCUCUUACGGGUGGCGAGUGGCGGACGGGUGAGGAAUACAUCGGAAUCUACUUUUUCGUGGGGGAUAACGUAGGGAAACUUACGCUAAUACCGCAUACGACCUACGGGUGAAAGCAGGGGAUCUUCGGACCUUGCGCGAUUGAAUGAGCCGAUGUCGGAUUAGCUAGUUGGCGGGGUAAAGGCCCACCAAGGCGACGAUCCGUAGCUGGUCUGAGAGGAUGAUCAGCCACACUGGAACUGAGACACGGUCCAGACUCCUACGGGAGGCAGCAGUGGGGAAUAUUGGACAAUGGGCGCAAGCCUGAUCCAGCCAUACCGCGUGGGUGAAGAAGGCCUCCGGGUUGUAAAGCCCUUUUGUUGGGAAAGAAAAGCAGCAGGUUAAUACCCCGCUGUUCUGACGGUACCCAAAGAAUAAGCACCGGCUAACUUCG